rnacentral:rRNA from 1 species
AUACGGAGGGUGCAAGCGUUACUCGGAAUCACUGGGCGUAAAGCGCGCGCAGGCGGUCUUUUAAGUUGGAUGUGAAAGCCUACGGCUCAACCGUAGAACUGCAUCCAAAACUAUUAGACUAGAGUGUGGGAGAGGAGGAUGGAAUUAGUUGUGUAGGGGUAAAAUCCGUAGAGAUAACUAGGAAUACCAAAAGCGAAGGCAAUCUUCUGGAACACUACUGACGCUGAGGCGCGAAAGCGUGGGGAGCAAACAGGAUUAGAUACCCUAGUAGUCC